rnacentral:rRNA from 1 species
AUUGAACGCUGGCGGCAGGCCUAACACAUGCAAGUCGAACGAGUGGCGGACGGGUGAGUAAUGUCUGGGAAACUGCCCGAUGGAGGGGGAUAACUACUGGAAACGGUAGCUAAUACCGCAUACCAUCGGAUGUGCCCAGAUGGGAUAAGCUAGUAGGUGGGGUAACGGCUCACCUCGGCGACGAUCCCAAGCUUGUCUGAGAGGCUGACCAGCCACCCUGGAACUGAGACACGGUCCAGACUCCUACGAGAGGCAGCAGUGGGGAAUAUUGCACAAUGGGCGCAAUCCUGAUUCAGCCAUGCAGCGUGUAUGAAGAAGGCCUUCGGGUUGUAAAGUACUUUCAGCGAGGAGGCGUUACUCGCAGAAGAAGCACCGGCUAACUCCGUGCCAGCAGCCGCGGUAAUAC